rnacentral:sRNA from 1 species
UAGUGAGACUCUCGGAUCGGGUUUUGGGAACCGGCAACGGAUCCUUUUUCUGAGAAGUUUGUCAAACUUGGUCAUUUAGAGGAAGUAAAAGUCGUAACAAGGUUUCCGUAGGUGAACCUGCGGAAGGAUCAUUAGAAUAUUCGGGAAUUUUUCCCUAAAUAUCUUAUUCAAAAAAUUUCCAUCCUAUUAAAAUAUAAUUUUUUAAAUUUUAUUAAAAAAAUAAGACAACUUUCAACAACGGAUCUCUUGGCUCUUGCAUCGAUGAAGAACGCAGUGAAAUGCGAUACGUAAUGUGAAUUGCAGAAUUCCGUGAAUCAUCAAAUCUUUGAACGCAAAUUGCACUCCUUGGUAUUCCGAGGAGUAUGCUUGCUUGAGGGUCGAAUCAUAUUUAUCGUUUUAUAACGGAUCUGGGUUUUUCCAAGUUUUUUUAAACCUUGGUAACCUAAAAUUUAUCUUAAUAAUAUUUGUAAUAUUGAAAAUGUGUAUCUUACGUUCACGUGAGUUUAUUGACAAUCAUUAUGAAUUUAUUACGUCGUAUUAUUCACUCGAUUUUUUUAACGAUCGGGGCGAAUGAUACAAUUUUUUAAAUUCGACCUCAAGUCAAGUAAGAAUACCCGCUGAACUUAAGCAUAUCAAUAAGCGGAGGAAAAGAAACUAACAAGGAUUCCCUUAGUAACGGCGAGUGAACUGGGAAGAGCUCAAAUUUAAAAUCAUCAGGGUUUCCUUGAUGAGUUGUAAUUUGAAGAAAGUGUUUUGAUGUUCGGGUUUUAUCUAAAUCCUUUGGGAUAAGGUAUCAUAGAGGGUGAGAAUCCCGUUCGUGAUUAAACCUCGGAUGUCACUUAAUUCAUUUUCUAAGAGUCGAGUUGUUUGGGAUUGCAGCUCAAAAUGGGUGGUAAAUUUCACCUAAGGCUAAAUAUAUGCGAGAGACCGAUAGCGAACAAGUACCGUGAGGGAAAGAUGAAAAGAACUUUGAAAAGAGAGUUAAAUAGUACGUGAAAUUGUUGAAAGGGAAACGAUUGAAGUCAGUCAUGCUAGUGAGGAAUCAACUCGGUGGUUUUCUUCCGGGUGUACUUUCUCGCCUGGCAGGUUAGCAUCAAUUUCGUUCAUCAUUAAAUGAUCGGGGUAAUGUGGCUUCUCUCCGGAGUAGUGUUAUAGACCUUGGUAGAUGUGAUGAUCGGGAUUGAGGAUUGCAGCGAAUGCUAUUUGGCUAGUCCCCUGAUUUCUGAUGGUCACCUCGCCUUCGACAGCUUGCUGACGUGGGUGGGUUCUGAUUGUCUAGAUGUUAGAGUGAUCAUAUAUUCGCUAAGGAUGCUGACGUAAUGGCUUUAAACGACCCGUCUUGAAACACGGACC